GAUGAACGCUGGCGGCGUGCCUAAUACAUGCAAGUCGAGCGAAUGGAUUAAGAGCUUGCUCUUAUGAAGUUAGCGGCGGACGGGUGAGUAACACGUGGGUAACCUGCCCAUAAGACUGGGAUAACUCCGGGAAACCGGGGCUAAUACCGGAUAACAUUUUGAACCGCAUGGUUCGAAAUUGAAAGGCGGCUUCGGCUGUCACUUACUGAUGGACCCGCGUCGCAUUAGCUAGUUGGUGAGGUAACCGCUCACCAAGGCAACGAGGCGUAGCCCACCUGAGAGGGUGAUCGGCCACACUGGGACUGAGACACGGCCCAGACUCCUACGGGAGGCAGCAGUAGGGAAUCUUCCGCAAUGGACGAAAGUCUGACGGAGCAACGCCGCGUGAGUGAUGAAGGCUUUCGGGUCGUAAAACUCUGUUGUUAGGGAAGAACAAGUGCUAGUUGAAUAAGCUGGCACCUUGACGGUACCUAACCAGAAAGCCACGGCUAACUACGUGCCAGCCGCCGCGGUAA
rnacentral:rRNA from 1 species